rnacentral:rRNA from 1 species
GACGAACGCUGGCGGCGUGCUUAACACAUGCAAGUCGAGCGGUAAGGCCCUUUCGGGGGUACACGAGCGGCGAACGGGUGAGUAACACGUGGGUGACCUGCCCUCAGCUCUGGGAUAAGCCUGGGAAACUGGGUCUAAUACUGGAUAUGACUCCACGGUGCAUGUCGUGGGGUGGAAAGCCUUGUGCGGCUGAGGAUGGGCCCGCGGCCUAUCAGCUUGUUGGNGGGGUGAUGGCCUACCAAGGCGACGACGGGUAGCCGGCCUGAGAGGGCGACCGGCCACACUGGGACUGAGACACGGCCCAGACUCCUACGGGAGGCAGCAGUGGGGAAUCUUGCGCAAUGGGCGAAAGCCUGACGCAGCGACGCCGCGUGAGGGAUGACGG